AUGGAAUCCUGCCUUGCCCCUUACUGGCUUCUGAUGGUGGCCAUUGAUCUUCGGCAUUCCUUUGCUUUUGCAGCUGCAGCACUUCCUCUCUACCUCAGUUGUCACAUGGUAUUCUUCCUCCUGAAUGUCUCAGAUUGAUUUCAAACAAAUGCAGCAACAAAUCAAGGUGUUCUUCCUUGGGAAGUGAUGGGUGUUUUGCCUACUGUCAAUCUCUGGAAUCAUUCUGGCUACUAUGUGGACAAAAACUGUAGCAGGUAAAGAACAGGAGCCAAGAAGCCAGUAUGGAGCCAAAGAGCAGGCCAAGUGAGGGAUGAUGACUCACUCACUGGCUAGCUGAGUGGUUCUUGGUAUACCAACAAGAAUGAAAAUAACUUAACAGCAAUUUUAUAAAUUCACAUCCCCCAGAGCACCACAGAGUAAAGAAAUACUGCAUAUGGGUAACAACUGGUUCUUAGUUACUAAAUCUGAAAGAUCAAAUACAGUUAAUUACAUAAGGUAAGUUAAACUCAGAUGUUUGGUAAUACAUAUAUAUGGAGAGAGAGAUGUGCGUGUGUGUAUAAAAUACACGAGUAUAUAUGUGUGUAAAAUGCAGUCAGUCCAGAUGUAUUCCAAAUAACUAUCCUUUAAGCCUGCCAUCUGCAUCUUGUUUUUUUUUUUUAGACGGAGUCUCACUCUAUCGCCAGGCUGGAGUGCAGUGGCACGAUCUUGGCUCACUGCAACCUCUGCCUCCCGAGUUCAAGUAAUUCUCCUGCCUUAACCUCCCGAGUAGCUGGGACUGCAGGUGCAUGCCACCAUGCCCAGCUAAUUUUUGUAUUUUUAUUAGAGAUGGGUUUUCACCAUGUUGGCCAGGACAGUCUCAAUCUCUUGAUCAUCUGCAUCUCUUUUAAGAUAAAUUAUGAACUAUUGCAGAUAUAUUUUCAUUUUAAGAAGGAGUAGAUAUAUCCCAAAUAUAAGAGUGCAUUUUGGCUUCUGAAUUUUUGAUAUUCCUGAGCUUUUUAGGUUAUUUGCUCCAUAAAGGGAGGGUCUGAGCAGAGAUUGAGAGUUCCUUGAAACCAGGUGUCAGUAGCAGACAAGAGGAGAAUACAUGCCUGGCUGCUCUUAAUGUCCUCUUAUAAGGGAACAUGCUCCUAAUGUCUUUUAUAAAUUAAUAUAAAGAAUAACCUUUAUCUUCAACAAGACACUGUCAACCACGAGGUGCUUCUGUUGACUCAUUUUUAUUGUCUUGUGGGAGUUUCUGAGAACACUGCAAGGAAACAAAAAGAAUUGAGAUGAAACACCUCUUUCCGUCUGCCAAAAAGCUUUAGGAUAUAGCAGAGGGAUGAUUCAGAAUCCAACUUUCUUAUUAAUCUGAUGCCUAUUCUAAUUAGAGGAAUACUUGUUUGCACAUUUAUAAGACAUCUCACAUAAGAAUGACGGGGAGUUUCUCUGAGAGUAAUGGCAGAGAUUUAUUUGCGGGAGUGUGGGUAACAGCUGCCAAAUACAAUGGUAAUGUCAAGAUUAGUAUAACAUGAAAGACAGCCCCCAGUAUUGACUUCCCCAGGCUGUGCGUCUACUUUUCCCUCUAGAUUCUAGAUCUGACUCCUUGCACACGAAUUACCAGGCAUGAUUUUUCUCAUCAAGUAUUUUUUUUUUUUUUUUCAAAAAUGCGGUGCUCCAUUCAGCAUGUCAUUCAGUCUUAAGUGUUUGUAAUAAAAUUACCAGAAAGCAGAGAUGCUUUGCAGCCACACAUGUGGCUUUUGAAAUAAAAUUCAAAAAAGCCACCAAUUUGUCAAAUAGAUAGGGGAAAAUGCAUCAUAUCAUUUUGCAAAUUAUGACUACAAAUAUAUUGAAGACAGUCUUGUCAAGCUGAUGUGUUCCCUCUGUUACUUGAACUUUAUCUUGGUUGAGGCUCAACUCUAAUGAAGACAGGCAUGGAUGAUUCUGGUUUGAAAAGGUCACAGUUGUACCAAAGUCUAUAUAAAUAACUUUGUCCUAUUAUGUCUCUACCACACAGCUUCUCUUGAGUUUUUCUGGGGGAAUAUACCAGGAGACCAUAAUCAAGGUACCAGUUUAUUGAUGGCUGUCCUUAACAAAUACAACUCUUCAAGAAAAUAAAGUAAUUUAAUGCAUAAUAAUGUUGAAUGCUACGUGCCCACCUUAAAGAUAAGGAUAAACCUGCU
rnacentral:lncRNA from 10 species